rnacentral:lncRNA from 10 species
AAAAUACAAAUCAAAACAAUGUAGCUACAUAAGACAUUUUGGAAACAACUGGGGAUAUUUGUAUAUAGAUUUAAAUAAUCAGCACCACUUACUGUUAAUUAUUUUAGCCGUGGUAUUGGCCUUGACGUAGGAGGAUGUUGAGAGUUUUAGGAGAUGUGCAUUGCUGUGAUCACCCCACAGAUGUGGGAUAGAUCUCCCCUAACCCACGUGAAAUUUGGUUUGGAUGUUGAGACUGAUGAUGCUAUCUGCACACCGAGAAGGCAUGAAAAGAUUUGUGACUCAUGUAAUGAGCCAUUCUGGGGAGAGUACAGCAGGUUCCUAAACAGGCCCCAAAGUAGCUUGAGAAUGCAGACAGGGGCAGCUGGCCUGGCUUUGUGUUUGGAAGGGAGGCUGGGGUGAGGGCCCCUACCCAUGGGCUGGGUUUGUGUGGGUGAAACUAUCUGCCAGCAGCAAGGGAGGGAGCAGCUGGGCUUUUUUAUUGGUUUGUCCAGCUAUACGGCAAGAGGGGAAAAGGGAGGGAUGGGGCUUGACAGCUGUCAGCAGUUAAUCAUCAAAAAAAUGGAGUCAGACUCAUUACAGUUCACCCCGAUGCUCGACUGCUGACUGAAAGGUGCCAUGUUUCAUUUGAUUUCAUUUGAACUUGUUUAAGUGAACCAUUAUGGUGCCCUAUGAGACCUUGAGUCUGAGGCCAAUAAAGGAGGUGAAAGUUCUGUUAAACAUCUUUUCCAAGAGCCCAGUAUUCAUUGUCAAAAUUAAAAAUGUUUGUGCUUCAAAGGACACCAGGAGCAAGUGAAGACACAGCCUACAGAAUAAAAAAAUUUUUUUUUGCAAUUCAUAUAUCCGAUGAUGGACUUGUCUCUAGACAAGUCCUCUAAAGAACUUUUUCAGUUCAAUAAUAAAAAAAAAAUAGCCCCAUCAAGAAUGGGUACUAUUGCAGAGUAAAAAGACAACUGACAGAAUGGUAGAAAAUAUCUGUAAAUCAUAUUUGAUUAGGUUGUAAUAUCCUGAAUAUAUAAAGAACACCUACAACCCAACAACAAAAAGACAAACAACCCAAUUUUAAAAAUGGGCAAAGGGCUGGGCUCGGUGGCUCAAGCCUGUAAUCCCAGCACUUUGGGAGGCCGAGGUGAGUGGAUCACUUGAGGUUAGGAGUUUGAGACCAGCCUGAUCAACAUGGUGAAACCCCGUCUCUACUAAAAAUACAAAAAUUAGCUGGGUGUCGUGGCAGGCACCUGUAAUCCCAGCUCAGGAGGC